AGAACGAACGCUGGCGGCAUGCCUAACACAUGCAAGUUGAACGAUCUCUUCGGAGAUAGUGGCGCACGGGUGCGUAACGCGUGGGAAUCUGCCCUUGGGUUCGGAAUAACAGUUGGAAACGACUGCUAAUACCGGAUGAUGACGUUAAGUCCAAAGAUUUAUCGCCCAGGGAUGAGCCCGCGUAGGAUUAGCUAGUUGGUGAGGUAAAGGCUCACCAAGGCGACGAUCCUUAGCUGGUCUGAGAGGAUGAUCAGCCACACGUGGGACUGAGACCACGGCCCAGACCUCCGUACGGGAGGCAG
rnacentral:rRNA from 1 species